GGAGCUUGCGUCCGGCUGACGAGUGGCGCACGGGUGCGUAACGCGUAUACAAUCUACCUUGUUAAGGGGUAUAGCCUUUAGAAAUGAAGAAUAAUCCCCCAUAAUAUCUUAUUAGUGGCAUCAUUAAAAGAUUAAAGCUUCGGUGGUAAGAGAUGAGUAUGCGUUCUAUUAGCUAGUAGGUGAGGUAACGGCUCACCUAGGCGACGAUAGAUAGGGGCCCUGAGAGGGGGAUCCCCCACACUGGUACUGAGACACGGACCAGACUCCUACGGGAGGCAGCAGUGAGGAAUAUUGGACAAUGGGCGCAAGCCUGAUCCAGCCAUGCCGCGUGCAGGAAGACUGCCCUAUGGGUUGUAAACUGCUUUUAUAUAGGAAGAAACCAUUCUACGUGUAGAGUGCUGACGGUACUAUAAGAAUAAGCAUCGGCUAACUCCGUGCCAGCAGCCGCGGUAAUACGGAGGAUGCAAGCGUUAUCCGGAAUCAUUGGGUUUAAAGGGUCCGUAGGUGGAUAGAUAAGUCAGAGGUGAAAUCCUGCAGCUCAACUGUAGAAUUGCCUUUGAAACUGUUUAUCUUGAAUUAUGGUGAAGUGGUUAGAAUAUGUAGUGUAGCGGUGAAAUGCAU
rnacentral:rRNA from 1 species